rnacentral:rRNA from 1 species
AGGACGAACGCUGGCGGCGUGCUUAACACGUGCAAGUCGAGCGGAAAGGCCUUUCGGGGUACUCGAGCGGCGAACGGGUGAGUAACACGUGAGUAAUCUGCCCAUCGCUUCAGGAUAGCCAUCGGAAACGGUGAUUAAUACUGGAUAUGACAUUCCUUCGCAUGUUGGGGUGUCGGAAAGUUUUUUCGGCGGUGGAUGUGCUCGCGGCCUUAUCAGCUUGGUUGGUGGGUAAUGGCCUACCAAGGCUUUAGACGGGUAGCCGGCCUGGAGACGGGUCGACCGGGCCACGACGUGGGACUGACGACACGGCCCAGACCUCCGACGGGAGCAGCGAGGUGGGAAU